UGAGGAAUAUUGGUCAAUGGGCGCAAGCCUGAACCAGCCAUCCCGCGUGAAGGAAGAAGGCGCUAUGCGUUGUAAACUUCUUUUCCAGGGGGAGAAUUUUUCCGUCGUGACGGGAAUUGACGGUAUUCUGGGAAUAAGCAUCGGCUAACUCCGUGCCAGCAGCCGCGGUAAUACGGAGGAUGCGAGCGUUAUCCGGAUUUAUUGGGUUUAAAGGGUGCGUAGGCGGAUUGAUAAGUCAGUGGUGAAAGGCUGCAGCUUAACUGUAGACUUGCGGUUGAUACUGUCAGUCUUGAGUAUGGUAAAGGCAGGCGGAUUGUGUGAUGUAGCGGUGAAAUGCUUGGAUAUUACAAAGAACACCGAUUGCGAAGGCAGCUUGCUGGGCAAU
rnacentral:rRNA from 1 species